AUUGAACGCUGGCGGCAGGCCUAAAACAUGCAAGUCGAACGAGUGGCGGACGGGUGAGUAAUGUCUGGGAAACUGCCAGAUGGAGGGGGAUAAAUACUGGAAACGGUAGCUAAUACCGCAUCCCAUCGGAUGUGCCCAGAGGGGAUUAGCUAGUAGGUGGGGUAAUGGCUCAACUAGGCGACGAUCCCUAGCGGGUCUGAGAGGAUGACCAGCCACACUGGAACUGAGACACGGUCCAGACUCCUCCGGGAGGCAGCAGUGGGGAAUAUUGCACAAUGGGCGAAAGCCUGAUGCAGCCAUGCCGCGUGUAUGAAGAAGGCCUUCGGGUUGUAAAGUACUUUCAGCGAGGAGGCGUUACUCGCAGAAGAAGCACCGGCUAACUCCGUGCCAGCAGCCGCGGUAAGUC
rnacentral:rRNA from 1 species